UACGUAGGGUGCGAGCGUUGUCCGGAAUCACUGGGCGUAAAGGGCGCGUAGGCGGCUUUUCAAGCGUGCGGUGAAAGCUCGGGCUUAACUCCGAGUCUGCCGUGCGAACUGGGAGGCUUGAGUCUGGUAGAGGUCGAUGGAAUUCCGGGUGUAGCGGUGGAAUGCGUAGAGAUCCGGAAGAACACCGGUGGCGAAGGCGGUCGACUGGGCCAGAACUGACGCUGAGGCGCGACAGCGUGGGAG
rnacentral:rRNA from 1 species